GAUGAACGCUGGCGGCGUGCCUAAUACAUGCAAGUCGAGCGAACAGACGAGGAGCUUGCUCCUCUGACGUUAGCGGCGGACGGGUGAGUAACACGUGGAUAACCUACCUAUAAGACUGGGAUAACUUCGGGAAACCGGAGCUAAUACCGGAUAAUAUAUUGAACCGCGUGGUUCAAUAGUGAAAGACGGUUUUGCUGUCACUUAUAGAUGGAUCCGCGCCGCAUUAGCUAGUUGGUAAGGUAACGGCUUACCAAGGCAACGAUGCGUAGCCGACCUGAGAGGGUGAUCGGCCACACUGGAACUGAGACACGGUCCAGACUCCUACGGGAGGCAGCAGUAGGGAAUCUUCCGCAAUGGGCGAAAGCCUGACGGAGCAACGCCGCGUGAGUGAUGAAGGUCUUCGGAUCGUAAAACUCUGUUAUUAGGGAAGAACAAAUGUGUAAGUAACUAUGCACGUCUUGACGGUACCUAAUCAGAAAGCCCCGGCUAACUACGUG
rnacentral:rRNA from 1 species